UACGGAGGGGGCUAGCGUUGUUCGGAAUUACUGGGCGUAAAGGGCGCGUAGGUGGCCACCAUAAGGCCGCGGUGAAAGUCUGGAGCUCAACCCCGGAUCGGCCGCGGCGACUGUGGGGCUUGGGCACCGUAGAGGCAGAUGGAAUUCCGGGUGUAGCGGUGGAAUGCGUAGAGAUCCGGAGGAACACCAAUAGCGAAGGCAGCUCGCUGGGACGUUACUGACACUGAGGCGCGAAAGCGUGGGGAGCGAACAGG
rnacentral:rRNA from 1 species